rnacentral:rRNA from 1 species
UUGACCUCGGAUCAGGUAGGAUUACCC